AGGGUUGUGGCUCAGUGGUAGAGCGCUUGCCUAGCAUGCACAAGGCACUGGGUUUGAUCCCCGGCACCACAU
rfam:Ictidomys tridecemlineatus contig035517, whole genome shotgun sequence.